CUUGCUUGGUGGUGAGAGUGGCGAACGGGUGAGUAAUGCGUGACCGACCUGCCCCAUACACCGGAAUAGCUCCUGGAAACGGGUGGUAAUGCCGGAUGCUCCAGUUGAUCGCAUGGUCUUCUGGGAAAGCUUUCGCGGUAUGGGAUGGGGUCGCGUCCUAUCAGCUUGACGGCGGGGUAACGGCCCACCGUGGCUUCGACGGGUAGCCGGCCUGAGAGGGCGACCGGCCACAUUGGGACUGAGAUACGGCCCAGACUCCUACGGGAGGCAGCAGUGGGGAAUAUUGCACAAUGGGCGCAAGCCUGAUGC
rnacentral:rRNA from 1 species